rnacentral:rRNA from 2 species
CAAGUCGAGCGGUAACAGAUCCAGCUUGCUGGAUGCUGACGAGCGGCGGACGGGUGAGUAAUGCAUAGGAAUCUGCCCGAUAGUGGGGGAUAACCUGGGGAAACCCAGGCUAAUACCGCAUACGUCCUACGGGAGAAAGGGGGCUCCGGCUCCCGCUAUGGGAUGAGCCUAUGUCGGAUUAGCUGGUUGGUGAGGUAACGGCUCACCAAGGCCACGAUCCGUAGCUGGUCUGAGAGGAUGAUCAGCCACAUCGGGACUGAGACACGGCCCGAACUCCUACGGGAGGCAGCAGUGGGGAAUAUUGGACAAUGGGGGAAACCCUGAUCCAGCCAUGCCGCGUGUGUGAAGAAGGCCCUCGGGUUGUAAAGCACUUUCAGCGAGGAAGAACGCCUAGCGGUUAAUACCCGCUAGGAAAGACAUCACUCGCAGAAGAAGCACCGGCUAACUCCGUGCCAGCAGCCGCGGUAAUACGGAGGGUGCAAGCGUUAAUCGGAAUUACUGGGCGUAAAGCGCGCGUAGGUGGCUUGAUAAGCCGGUUGUGAAAGCCCCGGGCUCAACCUGGGAACGGCAUCCGGAACUGUCAAGCUAGAGUGCAGGAGAGGAAGGUAGAAUUCCCGGUGUAGCGGUGAAAUGCGUAGAGAUCGGGAGGAAUACCAGUGGCGAAGGCGGCCUUCUGGACUGACACUGACACUGAGGUGCGAAAGCGUGGGUAGCAAACAGGAUUAGAUACCCUGGUAGUCCACGCCGUAAACGAUGUCGACCAGCCGUUGGGUGCCUAGCGCACUUUGUGGCGAAGUUAACGCGAUAAGUCGACCGCCUGGGGAGUACGGCCGCAAGGUUAAAACUCAAAUGAAUUGACGGGGGCCCGCACAAGCGGUGGAGCAUGUGGUUUAAUUCGAUGCAACGCGAAGAACCUUACCUACUCUU